CAGUUGGUUGUCGUCAGCUUCGUGUCGUGAGAGUUGGUUUAGGGUUAACGUCCCGACAACGAGCGCAACCCCUAUUGUUAGUUGCCAUCAUUCAGUUGGGCACUCUAGCGAGACUGCCGGUAAUAACCGGAGGAAGGUGGGAUGACGUCAAAUCAUCAUGCCCCUUAUGACCUGGGCUACACACGUGCUACAAUGGUUGGUACAACGAGUUGCGAGUCGGUGACGGCGAGCUAAUCUCUUAAAGCCAAUCUCAGUUCGGAUUGUAGGCUGCAACUCGCCUACAUGAAGUCGGAAUCGCUAGUAAUCGCGGAUCAGCACGCCGCGGUGAAUACGUUCCCGGGCCUU
rnacentral:rRNA from 1 species